UACGUAGGGGGUAAGCGUUGUCCGGAUUUAUUGGGCGUAAAGAGCUCGUAGGUGGUUCGGUAAGUCGGAUGUGAAAUCUCCAGGCUCAACCUGGAGGGGUCAUUCGAUACUGCCGUGACUAGAGGUCGGUAGGGGAGUGUGGAAUUCCUGGUGGAGCGGUGAAAUGCGCAGAUAUCAGGAGGAACACCCGUAGCGAAGGCGGCACUCUGGGCCGAUACUGACACUGAGGAGCGAAAGCGUGGGGAGCGAACAGG
rnacentral:rRNA from 1 species